GUGGGGAAUCUUCCGCAAUGGACGAAAGUCUGACGGAGCAACGCCGCGUGAGUGAAGAAGGUUUUCGGAUCGUAAAGCUCUUUCGUUAGGGACGAACGUGCUCUUUGUGAAUAAUGAGGAGUAAUGACGGUACCUAAAUAAGAAGCCACGGCUAACUACGUGCCAGCAGCCGCGGUAAUACGUAGGUGGCAAGCGUUGUCCGGAAUUAUUGGGAGUAAAGCGCGCGCAGGCGGGAUAUCAAGUCUGUCUUAAAAGUGCGAGGCUCAACCUCGUGAGGGGACAGAAACUGGUAUUCUUGAGUGUCGGAGAGGAAAGUGGAAUUCCAAGUGUAGCGGUGAAAUGCGUAGAGAUUUGGAAGAACACCAGUGGCGAAGGCGACUUUCUGGACGAUGUCUGACGCUGAGGCGCGAAAGCUAGGGGAGCGAACGGGAUUAGAAACCCCGGUAGUCC
rnacentral:rRNA from 1 species